ensembl:misc_RNA Metazoa_SRP Metazoan signal recognition particle RNA
GCUGGGCGCGGUGGCUCAUGCCUGUAAUCCCAGCACUUUGGGAGGCUGAGGCGGGUGGAUCACCUGAGGUCAGGAGUUCGAGACCAGCCUGGCCAACAUGGUGAAACCCCGUCUCUA